UGUGUGUUCUCCCAUCUGCCCCAGUCCUCCGGGCCCGUCCACUGCAGGGGUGACAUCCCCGUCCCCGUCCACUGCAGGGGUGACGUCCCCGUCCCCGUCCACUGCAGGGGUGACAUCCCCGUCCCCGUCCACUGCAGGGGUGACAUCCCUGUCCCCGUCCACUGCAGGGUGGCAUCCCUGUCCCUGUCCACUGCAGGGGUGACAUCCCCGUCCACUACAGGGGUGACAUCCUUGUCCCUGUCCACUGCAGGGGUGACAUCCCUGUCCCUGUCCACUGCAGGGGGUAACAUCCCUGUCCCCGUCCACUGCAGGGGUGACAUCCCUGUCCCCAUCCACUGCAGGGUGGCAUCCCUGUCCCUGUCCACUGCAGGGGUGACGUCCCCGUCCACUGCAGGGGUGACAUCCCCGUCCCUGUCCACUGCAGGGGUGACAUCCCUGUCCCCGUCCACUGCAGGGGUGACAUCCCUGUCCCCGUCCACUGCAGGGGUGACAUCCCUGUCCCCGUCCACUGCAGGGGUGACAUCCCUGUCCCUGUGCACUGCAGGGGUGACGUACCUGGGCCUGGCCACUAAGAGGACUGAGUCUCUGGGGACGGAGGGCCAGCUGGGUGUCAGGGCCAGAGCAGACCACCACUAGGCCAUCCCCACUAGGUCUGCCCUGCCCGUCCGCCCAGGGACUUUCAGCUGCCAGGAGCCCGGCUGCCCGGAGCCCAGCCUGCCGGUCCCCUGGCAGAGGGUCCCCACCCUUGGCAGAAGGGACAGAGUGGAGGACAGAGGCAUGGGACCCCCACUCACCAUCUGAAGCACCCCAAAGAAGGACAUGAGGUAGCCGGCCUGGGCGGCCUCCAGCUGGAAGAAGUCCAUGGAGAUGAUGGGAAA